rnacentral:rRNA from 1 species
AGCAGCCGCGGUAAUUCCAGCUCCAAUAGCGUAUAUUAAAGUUGUUGCAGUUAAAAAGCUCGUAGUUGAAUUUCGGGGUUAGUAGGUUGGUCAUGCCUCUGGUAUGUACUGGUCUCACUGACUCCUCCUUCCUGAUGAACCUUAAUGCCAUUAAUUUGGUGUUUUGGGGAAUUUGGACUGUUACUUUGAAAAAAUUAGAGUGUUUAAAGCAAACUAACGCUUGAAUACAUUAGCAUGGAAUAAUGAAAUAGGACGUUCGAUCCUAUUUUGUUGGUUUCUAGGAUUGACGUAAUGAUUAAUAGGGAUAGUUGGGGGCAUUAGUAUUCAAUUGUCAGAGGUGAAAUUCUUGGAUUUAUUGAAGACUAACUACUGCGAAAGCAUUUGCCAAGGAUGUUUUCAUUAAUCAAGAACGAAAGUUAGGGGAUCGAAGACGAUCAGAUACCGUCGUAGUCUUAACCAUAAACUAUGCCGACUAGGGAUCGGAUGAUGUUAAUUCUUUAAUGACUCA